CACGUAGGGGGCGAGCGUUGUCCGGAUUUAUUGGGCGUAAAGAGCUCGUAGGCGGCUCAGUAAGUCAGGUGUGAAAACUCCAGGCUCAACCUGGAGACGCCACCUGAUACUGCUGUGGCUAGGGUCCGGUAGGGGAGCAUGGAAUUCCUGGUGUAGCGGUGAAAUGCGCAGAUAUCAGGAGGAACACCAGUGGCGAAGGCGGUGCUCUGGGCCGGAACUGACGCUGAGGAGCGAAAGCGUGGGUAGCAAACAGG
rnacentral:rRNA from 1 species